rnacentral:misc_RNA from 1 species
UCUGGCUUGUGGCCAAGCGGUCUCACUAGAGUGCCCAACUGAAUGAUGGUAACUAGUGACAAGGGUUGCGCUCGUUGCGGGACUUAACCCAACAUCUCACAACACGAGCUGACGACAGCCAUGCAGCACCUGUCUCCGCGUCCCCGAAGGGAACGUCUGGUUUCCCAGAGUAGCGCGGGAUGUCAAGCCUGGGUAAGGUUCUUCGCGUAGCAUCGAAUUGAACCACAUGCUCCACCGCUUGUGCGGGCCCCCGUCAAUUCCUUUGAGUUUUAAUCUUGCGACCGUAAUCCCCAGGCGGGAUACUUAACGCGUUAGCUACGUCACCGAAACAAUUAGGUAUUCCGACGACUAGUAUCCAUCGUUUAGGGCGUGGACUAC